AGCCCGUACUAGCUCGACCACACCAACCAAAAUAAACUCAACAAACCCACUCCAUCACCUAAACCAAAACAUUCUCUAAACCCAGUAUAGGCGAUAGAAAAGGACCCUUCCCCCCCGACGCAAUAGUUAAUCCGUACCGUAAGGGAAAGCUGAAAUAAUAAUGAAAAACCAAGCAGCAAACAGCAAAGAUAGACCCUUGUACCUUUUGCAUCAUGAUCUAGCAAGAAUAACCAAGCAAAAAGGACUUAAGCUUGUCUCCCCGAAACCCAAGCGAGCUACUUGCAAGCAGCUAUUUGAGCAAACCCGUCUCUGUUGCAAAAGAGUGGGAUGACUUGCUAGUAGAGGUGAAAAGCCAACCGAGCUGGGUGAUAGCUGGUUACCUGUGAAACGAAUCUAAGUUCUCCCUUGGAUGCUCCCCCUGGACACUAAACCCAACCCACAUGUAGCAACCAAAAGAUACUUAAAGGAGGUACAGCUCCUUUAAAAAAGAUUACAAUCUCCUUUAGAGGAUAACUACUGAAACUUACUCUCAACAUACUGUAGGCCUUCAAGCAGCCACCAAUAAAGAGUGCGUCAAAGCUCUACACAUAAAAAUACAAGUACAACAUGACUCCCUUUCACAUUAACAGGUUAACCUAUCACAAUAGGAGAAUUAAUGCUAGAAUGAGUAACUAGGGACUUCCCCUCUUCAGCGCAAACUUACAUCCCCACAUUAUUAACAAACCCCCAUUAUAAUAUUUUAACUGCAACAAGACUAAAUAUUACACCCAAUUGUUACCCCAACUCUGGAGCGCCCAAUUAGAAUGAUUAAAAUCUGUAAAAGGAACUAGGCAAACUCAGAGCCCGACUGUUUACCAAAAACAUAGCCUUCAGCCAGCCAAGUAUUGAAGGUGAUGCCUGCCCAGUGACAUACGUUCAACGGCCGCGGUAUCCUAACCGUGCGAAGGUAGCGCAAUCAAUUGUCCCAUAAAUCGAGACUUGUAUGAAUGGCUAAACGAGGUUCUAACUGUCUCUUACAGAUAAUCAGUGAAAUUGAUCUCCCUGUGCAAAAGCAGGGAUAACUACACAAGACGAGAAGACCCUGUGGAACUUCAAAAUCAACGGCCACCACAUUCCUAACCCAAGCCUACUAGGCUCACUACAAAUACUCACUGGCCCGUAUUUUUCGGUUGGGGCGACCUUGGAGAAAAACAAACCCUCCAAAAACAAGACCACACCUCUUAAUCAAGAGCAACCCCUCAACGUACUAACAGUAACCAGACCCAAUACAUUUGACUAAUGAACCAAGCUACCCCAGGGAUAACAGCGCAAUCUCCUCCAAGAGCCCACAUCGACGAGGAGGUUUACGACCUCGAUGUUGGAUCAGGACAUCCUAAUGGUGCAGCCGCUAUUAAGGGUUCGUUUGUUCAACGAUUAACAGUCCUACGUGAUCUGAGUUCAGACCGGAGCAAUCCAGGUCGGUUUCUAUCUGUGAUAAACUUCCUCCAGUACGAAAGGACCGAGAAAGUGGGGCCAAUACCACAAGCACGCCCUCCUACAAGUAAUGAAUUCAACUAAAUUACUAAAAAGCUACUCAACCCUACUCCUAGAAAAGGACCGCUAGUGUGGCAGAGCCCGGC
rnacentral:rRNA from 1 species